GAUGAACGCUGGCGGCGUGCUUAACACAUGCAAGUCGAACGGAAAGGCUCCUGCUUGCAGGGGUACUCGAGUGGCGAACGGGUGAGUAACACGUGGGUGAUCUGCCCUGCACUUCGGGAUAAGCCUGGGAAACUGGGUCUAAUACCGGAUAGGACGAUGGUUUGAUGCCAUUGUGGAAAGUUUUUCGGUGUGGGAUGAGCUCGCGGCCUAUCAGCUUGUUGGUGGGGUAAUGGCCUACCAAGGCGUCGACGGGUAGCCGGCCUGAGAGGGUGUACGGCCACAUUGGGACUGAGAUACGGCCCAGACUCCUACGGGAGGCAGCAGUGGGGAAUAUUGCACAAUGGGCGCAAGCCUGAUGCAGCGACGCCGCGUGGGGGAUGACGGCCUUCGGGUUGUAAACUCCUUUCGCUAGGGACGAAGCGCAAGUGACGGUACCUGGAGAAGAAGCACCGGCUAACUACGUG
rnacentral:rRNA from 1 species